GAUGAACGCUAGCUACAGGCUUAACACAUGCAAGUCGAGGGGAAACGACAUCGAAAGCUUGCUUUUGAUGGGCGUCGACCGGCGCACGGGUGAGUAACGCGUAUCCAACCUGCCCAUCACUUGGGGAUAACCUUGCGAAAGUAAGACUAAUACCCAAUGAUAUCCCUAGAAGACAUCUGAAAGAGACUAAAGAUUUAUCGGUGAUGGAUGGGGAUGCGUCUGAUUAGCUUGUUGUCGGGGUACCGGCCCACCAAGGCAACGAUUAGUAGGGGUUCGGAGAGGAGGGUCCCUGAGAGUGGAACCGGGCAACGGUCCAAAGUGCUACGGGAGGGAGCAGUGAGGGAGAUUGAAGAAGGGGAGAGAGCCUGAUCCAGCGAAGUAGGGUGCAGGAAGGCCGCGCUAGGGAUUAUAAACUGCUGUUAUAAGGGAACAUAGGGAGGGUAGUGACCCUUAUUGUAUGUACCUGAUGAAGAAGGACCGGCUAAUUACGUG
rnacentral:rRNA from 1 species